AUUAUACUGCCUCUGUCCGAAAAUACUUGUCAUCAAAAUGGACAAAAAGGGAUGUAUCUAAAACUAAAAUACAUCUAGAUACAUCCCUUUUAUCCAUUUUGAUGACAAGUAUUUCCGGAUGGAGGGAGUAUAUA
rfam:Triticum aestivum genome assembly, contig: Triticum_aestivum_CS42_TGACv1_scaffold_394420_5AS